AUUGAACGCUGGCGGCAGGCCUAACACAUGCAAGUCGAGCGGGGUUUUCGGACCUAGCGGCGGACGGGUGAGUAAUGCGUAGGAAGCUGCCCGAUAGAGGGGGACACCAGUUGGAAACGACUGUUAAUACCGCAUAAUGUCUACGGACCAAAGUGUGGGACCUUCGGGCCACAUGCUAUCGGAUGCGCCUACGUGGGAUUAGCUAGUUGGUGAGGUAAUGGCUAACCAAGGCGACGAUCUCUAGCUGGUUGGAGAGGAUGAUCAGCCAAACUGGAACUGAGACACGGUCCAGACUCCUACGGGAAGCAGCAGUGGGGAAUAUUGGACAAUGGGCGCAAGCCUGAUCCAGCCAUGCCGCGUGUGUGAAGAAGGCCUUCGGGUUGUAAAGCACUUUCAGCGAGGAGGAAGGGGUGUGUGUUAAUAGUACACACCUUUGACGUUACUCGCAGAAGAAGCACCGGCUAACUCUGUGCCAGCCGCCGCGGUAAUAC
rnacentral:rRNA from 1 species